rnacentral:tRNA from 1 species
GGGCGCAUAGCUCAGUUGGCUAGAGCGCACCCCUGAUAAGGGUGAGGUCGACUGUUCGAAUCAGUCUGCGCCCA